rnacentral:rRNA from 1 species
UACGGAGGAUCCAAGCGUUAUCCGGAUUAACUGGGCGUAAAGAGUUGCGUAGGUGGUUUUAUAAGCGAAUAGUGAAAUCUUGUGGCUCAACCAUAAACACAUUAUUCGAACUGUAAGACUCGAGAACGAGAGAGGUCACUGGAAUUUCUUGUGUAGGAGUGAAAUCCGUAGAUAUAAGAAGGAACACCAAUGGCGUAGGCAGGUGACUGGCUCGUUUCUGACACUGAGGCACGAAAGCGUGGGGAGCGAACGGG